rnacentral:rRNA from 1 species
AUGAGGAUGCUUGCAUACGGAGCUCCCGGUGAUAUACAGGAAGACUAUGGACGCAUGGCCGAGUUCAUCACCAUUGAGUGUUUGUACAAGUCAUGCAGGGCAGUGGUGGCACUGUUUGGACCACAACCCAAUGUUGAAGACAUUGCUCAGAUCCUAGCACAGAAUACAACAAGAGGAUUUCCUGGGAUGCUUGGAAGCAUCGACUGCAUGCAUUGGGCAUGGAAAAACUGUCCAUUUGCAGGAUGUACAAAGGCGCCAAAGGACCUUGCAGUGUGGUACUUGAGGCAGUGGCCACAUAGGAUCUCUGGAUUUGACACUCCUUUGGUAUGUCACGAACUCACAAUGACAUCAACGUACUAUAGUGCUCGAAUGUCUUUGCCAAGCUUGUUGAAGGUCAUGCUCCUCGGUGAACUUCGAGGUCAAUGGGCGCCACUACAACAAGGGUUACUGCCUAGCAGAUGGCAUCUAUCCGAGAUGGUCCACAUUUGUGAAGACUAUCUCAAACCUAGUGCCAGGAGGCAAGAACUCCUACUUUGCCAAGUGUCAGGAGGCUUGCAGGAAGGAUGUCGAGCGAGCAUUUGGUGUGCUCCAAUCUCGAUCUGCUGUUGUCCGGUACCCUGCUCUGACCUAGUCGAAAUCUCAAAUGUGGGAGCUGAUGAACUGGUGUGUCAUCUUGCGCAACAUGAUCACUGA